UACGUAGGGUGCAAGCGUUAAUCGGAAUUACUGGGCGUAAAGCGUGCGCAGGCGGUUAUGCAAGUCAGAUGUGAAAUCCCCGGGCUUAACCUGGGAACCGCAUUUGUGACUGCAUAGCUGGAGUACGGCAGAGGGGGGUAGAAUUCCACGUGUAGCAGUGAAAUGCGUAGAGAUGUGGAGGAACACCGAUGGCGAAGGCAGCCCCCUGGGUCAAGAUUGACGCUCAUGCACGAAAGCGUGGGGAGCAAACAGG
rnacentral:rRNA from 1 species